rnacentral:rRNA from 1 species
AUUGAACGCUGGCGGCAGGCCUAACACAUGCAAGUCGAGCGGAGCGGCGGACGGGUGAGUAAUGCCUAGGAAUCUGCCUGGUAGUGGGGGAUAACGUCCGGAAACGGGCGCUAAUACCGCAUACUAUCAGAUGAGCCUAGGUCGGAUUAGGUAGUUGGUGGGGUAAAGGCCUACCAAGGCGACGAUCCGUAACUGGGCUGAGAGGAUGAUCAGGCACACGGGAACUGAGACACGGUACAGACGCCUACGGGAGGCAGCAGUGGGGAAUAUGUGACAAUGGGCGAACGCCUGAUCCAGCCAUGCCGCGUGUGUGAAGAAGUUAUUCGGAGUUUAAAGCACUUUAAGUUGGGAGGCGUUACCAACAGAAUAAGCACCGGCUAACUUCGUGCCAGCAGCCGCGGUAAUUC